rnacentral:rRNA from 1 species
CCUGCCGGCGACCGGCGCACGGGUGAGUAACACGUAUGUAACCUGCCCUAUGCAGGGGGAUAACCCGGAGAAAUCCGGCCUAAUACCGCGUAACACCUUUGGGAGCAUUCCCCGGGGAGGUUAAAGGAGAGAUCCGGCAUAGGAUGGACAUGCGUCGCAUUAGGUAGACGGCGGGGUAACGGCCCACCGUGCCGACGAUGCGUAGGGGUUCUGAGAGGAAGGCCCCCCACACUGGUACUGAGACACGGACCAGGCUCCUACGGAAGGCAGCAG